UGCUUUUUUGCUCAUUAAAGUUCAAAGUUUGCAGUUAAAGUAACAGCUUUUACCUUGCAGCUGUCAUGAACCUGCUGGCUUAGUUCACCUUUGCUUUUCAGUCAUGUGAUCACCAGGUGUUUCUUAUCAGUAAUUACUCUCCAGCAUUUAAGCUUCAGCACUCACCUGUUCCGUUUGCCAGAUUGUUCGUUCAAGCACCCUGUUUGUCAUCUGUCCAGCGUUUUCAAGUGCGUCUAAUCCACCAUGCUGUUCACUUGUCCUGGAUUACCUGAGGACCUCCGUGUUUCGCGGAAGUCCGUGUUUCGCCGCUCCGCCGUCUUGGCCCGGAGAAGGCCAUUCUUGUCCUUGUCGUCUCUGAAGAGGAGGCCGUCCCUGUCGGCCCUGAAAAGGAGGCCGUUCUAGCUCCUGUUGGCCCCGAAGAGGAGACCGUUCUAGCUCCUGUCGGCCCCAAAGAGGAGACCGUUCUAGCUCCUGUCGGCCCCAAAGAGGAGGCCGUUCUAGUCCCUGUUGGCCCCAAAGAGGAGGCCGUUCUAGCUCCUGUUGGCCCGGAAAAGGUCAUUCUUGUCCUUGUCGUCCCUGCCUCAGUCCCUGCCGGCCGUGAAGAGGCCGCUCCUGUCUGGUGCCUUCUGCUUUCCUGUGCACAGGUGUCAUGCUUGGAGGUGCCGGUGGUUCCGGCAGGAGCACGUUUGCCGUUUGGUUUAUAGUAUUAAAUCCUGUUUGCCUUAA